CCCGUUGUAGCUCAAUGGUAGAGCGGCCGGCUGUAGACCGGCAGGUUGGGUGUUCAAAUCACUCCAACGGGA
rnacentral:tRNA from 1 species